CCAGACUCCUACGGGAGGCAGCAGUGGGGAAUAUUGCACAAUGGGGGAAACCCUGAUGCAGCGACGCCGCGUGAGUGAAGAAGUAUUUCGGUAUGUAAAGCUCUAUCAGCAGGGAAGAAAAUGACGGUACCUGAUUAAGAAGCCCCGGCUAACUACGUGCCAGCAGCCGCGGUAAUACGUAGGGGGCAAGCGUUAUCCGGAUUUACUGGGUGUAAAGGGAGCGCAGACGGCAGUGCAAGUCUGGAGUGAAAGCCCGGGGCCCAACCCCGGAACUGCUCUGGAAACUGUGCGGCUGGAGUACUGGAGGGGCAGGCGGAAUUCCUAGUGUAGCGGUGAAAUGCGUAGAUAUUAGGAGGAACACCAGUGGCGAAGGCGGCCUGCUGGACAGUAACUGACGUUGAGGCUCGAAAGCGUGGGGAGCAAGCAGGAUUAGAUACCCGAGUA
rnacentral:rRNA from 1 species